UGGCGGCAGGCUUAACACAUGCAAGUCGAGCGGUAGCAGAUCUAGCUUGCUAGAUGCUGACGAGCGGCGGACGGGUGAGUAACGCGUAGGAACCUGCCCAGUAGUGGGGGAUAGCCCGGGGAAACUCGGAUUAAUACCGCAUACGCUCUACGGAGGAAAGAGGGGGCUUCGGCUCUCGCUAUUGGAUGGGCCUGCGUGAGAUUAGCUAGUUGGUGAGGUAAUGGCUCACCAAGGCGACGAUCUCUAGCUGGUCUGAGAGGAUGAUCAGCCACACUGGGACUGAGACACGGCCCAGACUCCUACGGGAGGCAGCAGUGGGGAAUAUUGCACAAUGGGCGCAAGCCUGAUGCAGCCAUGCCGCGUGUGUGAAGAAGGCUUUCGGGUCGUAAAGCACUUUCAGUGGGGAGGAAGGCCUCGUAGUUAAUAGCUGCGAGGAUUGACGUUACCCACAGAAGAAGCACCGGCUAACUCCGUG
rnacentral:rRNA from 1 species